rnacentral:snRNA from 1 species
AGAAAUUUUUAAGCCUUUUGCUUUGGACUAAUGUUGUGCAUAGGCUGCACUUGUGGUGUGGGCUAAGAUCAAAUGUUCUCCAUAGGAGGUCUAUAUUGAGCAGAUUCUUUUUGGUAUUGGGUGGUGGAACUGGAGCGUGCUCCAUCCACUCCAUGCAUUGACCUGGUAUUGCAGUGCUUCCAGGACUGGUGCAAAAAAA